rnacentral:rRNA from 1 species
UCACUUCUGGAUGGACCUGCGGUGCAUUAGCUUGUUGGUGGGGUAACGGCCUACCAAGGCGAUGAUGCAUAGCUGAGUUGAGAGACUGAUCGGCCACAAUGGGACUGAGACACGGCCCAUACUCCUACGGGAGGCAGCAGUAGGGAAUCUUCCACAAUGGGCGCAAGCCUGAUGGAGCAACACCGCGUGAGUGAAGAAGGGUUUCGGCUCGUAAAGCUCUGUUGUUAAAGAAGAACACGUAUGAGAGUAACUGUUCAUACGUUGACGGUAUUUAACCAGAAAGUCACGGCUAACUACGUGCCAGCAGCCGCGGUAAUACGUAGGUGGCAAGCGUUAUCCGGAUUUAUUGGGCGUAAAGAGAGUGCAGGCGGUUUUCUAAGUCUGAUGUGAAAGCCUUCGGCUUAACCGGAGAAGUGCAUCGGAAACUGGAUAACUUGAGUGCAGAAGAGGGUAGUGGAACUCCAUGUGUAGCGGUGGAAUGCGUAGAUAU